rnacentral:misc_RNA from 1 species
UACGUACUGUGCGAACGUUAUUCGGAAUCACUGGGCUUAAAGGGUGCGUAGGCGGCCGUUUAAGUAGGGUGUGAAAGGCCCCGGCUCAACCGGGGCACGUCGCUCUAGACUGGACGGCUUGAGUGAGAUAGGGGUGUGCGGAACUUCCAGUGGAGCGGUGAAAUGUGUUGAUAUUGGAAGGAACGCCGGUGGCGAAAGCGGCACACUGGGUCUCAACUGACGCUGUGGCACGAAAGCUAGGGUAGCGAACGGG